CCGAGUUAGGGUCUCCUCCGUGAGGCCCGACCUCCCAACCCUGUGUCUACACAAACCUGUACGUGUUGCUUCGGCGGACCGGUGGCCCCCGCGAGGGGACCGCCGCCGGGGGACGACGGCUUCACGGCCGCCCCCUGGAAAGUCGUCCGUCGAUGGCCCCAACCCAACCAAAACUCAGAAUACCAAACAGUGAAAACACCUUCUGAAUCAGACUUUUGAUGUAACAAUCAAUAAAAACA
rnacentral:misc_RNA from 1 species